UCACAGCAGGAUGCAGAAAGCAAUACAAGUGCAUUAAAAAACAAAAAACUACUAGACUGUUUUCCUCUGCAGGUGUGAAGUAACAUCUCCUGCUUUACACACUUGUUUCCACCCAAAUGUAAAAACAAUUCAUCACUUUCAGAUUUUACAGCACAGAGAAAACUUGAAUCAUAUUUAAAAACAUUAAAAUCCCAUAAACUGAUGAAAAUCUCAGUUAUUCAGGUUUCUCUUUCAUGGUAAUACUUGUGGAAUGAGCACAAAAUCUUUAACAAUUCAAAGUCAGGAAACGUUGUUUUCCGAUAGUCGGAAGAGA